CCUACGGGAGGCAGCAGUGGGGAAUAUUGCACAAUGGGGGAAACCCUGAUGUAGCGACGCCGCGUGAGUGAAGAAGUCUUUCGGUAUGUAAAGCUCUAUCAGCAGGGAAGAAAAUGACGGUACCUGAUUAAGAAGCCCCGGCUAACUACGUGCCAGCAGCCGAGGUAAUACGUAGGGGGCAAGCGUUAUCCGGAUUUACUGGGUGUAAAGGGGGCGUAGACGGCAGCACAAGUCUGGAGUGAAAUGCCGGGGCUUAACCCCGGAACUGCUUUGGAAACUGUGUACCUAGAGUGCAGGAGGGGUAAGUGGAAUGCCUAGUGUAGCGGUGAAAUGCGUAGAUAUUAGGAGGAACACCAGUGGCGAAGGCAGCUUACUGGACUGUAACUGACGUUGAGGCUCGAAAGCGUGGGGAGCAAACAGGAUUAGAUACCCCUGUAGUC
rnacentral:rRNA from 1 species